AUACGGAAGGUCCUGGCGUUAUCCGGAUUUAUUGGGUUUAAAGGGAGCGCAGACGGCCUGUUAAGCGUGCAGUGAAAUGCGGGUGCUCAACAUCUGCACUGCUGCGUGAACUGGCGGGCUUGAGUUGUCUGGAGGGGCGCGGAAUUCGUGGUGUAGCGGUGAAAUGCUUAGAUAUCACGAAGAACCCCGAUUGCGAAGGCAGCGCACCGUGGACAUACUGACGUUGAGGCUCGAAGGUGCGGGUAUCGAACAGGAUUAGAUACCCUGGUAGUCCGCACGGUAAACGAUGGAUGCCCGCUGUAUGCGAUACAGUGUAUGCGGCCAAGCGAAAGCGUUAAGCAUCCCACCUGGGGAGUACGCCGGCAACGGUGAAACUCAAAGGAAUUGGCGGGG
rnacentral:rRNA from 1 species